UACUAAGCUAAUAUCUGUUUGGCUCUGAUAGGUAGAGUUCUUCAAAUAUGGUUUUAUUUGUCAUUCUCCAAUGUGAAAAAUCCUAAAAGAAGAAGAUACAGAUAAGCAAUUUGAAUUUCAGAAGAUGAAUGAUAUUUGAAAGGGAGUCGGGGAGAAUGUUUAAUGCAUUUAACAGGAAAACAUCUUCAUUUCGAUCUAAUCACAGCGUAGAUGCAGGCAGUGCUCAUUCCUCAGAAACAAGCAGCCUCCAGGCUGACAGACCCACAAUUCCAGAAACCCUUGUACUCUUCUCCUGCUACCUGAUCCGAUAAAAGCCCUCCAGAUUCCCGGGACUCUGCUCCAUGAGACAGGGAGUUGAGAUGACUGCCUUUUAAACUCUAGCGCUGCAGCUAUGCUCAGAAGAACUUCGGAAGGACUCGUUAACACAUCAGGUUAACAUCCCAUCUGGCUGCUAAGGUAUGCAGAGAAUGCUCUUCUGUAUUUACUGUGCAGACUCUCAGAACCUCCAUUAAGAAAGUACAUACUCAAGACUGAAUUUUCACACUUAACUCUGGCCAAGUUCCUGGGCGAUAAGCUAAGCACUAAUUUUAGCUUAUAUUCUGAAGAAAAGGGUGCUUUCUGAAGAAAAAUUGUUAACACAAGCUCUUGACGGUUCUCCAUGUGUCUUACAUGAAGCGCUGAGGACACAAAGAUUAGGAAAAUAUUGGACCUACCUUUAAUGAAUGAACCACGGCCAAAUGGAAAAAGAACUUUGUCUCUGACUGGGAAGAAGCCACCAACAUUUCUGGGUCAAUUUGGUAGAAAAGCAACCCACAGUGUAUUGAACAUUUAUUCUGUGCUUGACACUGGCCAGGUAAGCUCUACACCCAACAUGGGACUCGAACUCAGAAUCCUGAGAUCAACAGUCACGUUCUCUACUGACUGAGCCAGCCAGGCACCCCUCUGUUGCUUGAUCCUUUAUAUCUUGGCCUAGAUUCUCCUGCAGCACCCCUCUGAUUCCUCUCCAAGGCACAUGGAUGCGAGUAGCCAUAUAUGGUUGGUCUCUGUCCUGUGCAGCACAUCCCUUCUUCAGAUAACAGCAACUGCCUUUCACUGAAUUCUCUUUCAAUAAAUUGGGGCCAUGAGCUUCUUAUACUGGUUAU
rnacentral:lncRNA from 12 species